rnacentral:rRNA from 1 species
UACGUAGGAGGCGAGCGUUGUCCGGAAUUACUGGGCGUAAAGAGCGCGUAGGCGGCACGGUACGACCGGUGUGAAAGCCCCCGGCUCAACUGGGGAGGGUCACCGGUAACGGCCGAGCUACGAGUGCAGGAGAGGGAAGUGGAACUCCGGGAGUAGCGGUGAAAUGCGUAGAUAUCAGGAGGAACACCUGCGGUGUAGACGGCUUUCUGGACCAUUGCUGACGCUGAGACACGAAAGCGUGGGUAGCAAACAGG